GACGAACGCUGGCGGCGUGCUUAACACAUGCAAGUCGAACGGUAAGGCCCUUCGGGGUACACGAGUGGCGAACGGGUGAGUAACACGUGGGUGAUCUGCCCUGCACUUCGGGAUAAGCCUGGGAAACUGGGUCUAAUACCGGAUAGGACCACUGCCUGCAUGGGUGGUGGUGGAAAGCUUUUGCGGUGUGGGAUGGGCCCGCGGCCUAUCAGCUUGUUGGUGGGGUGAUGGCCUACCAAGGCGACGACGGGUAGCCGGCCUGAGAGGGUGACCGGCAACACUGGGACUGAGUUACGGCCCAGACUCCUACGGGAGACAGGAGUUGGGAAUAUUGCACAAUGGGCGCAAGCCUGAUGCAGCGACGCCGCGUGAGGGAUGACGGCCUUAGGGUUGUAAACCUCUUGCAGCACCGACGAAGCGCAAGUGACGGUGGGUGCAGAAGAAGGACCGGCCAAGUACGUGCCAGCCGCCGCGGUAA
rnacentral:rRNA from 1 species